CCUACGGGGUGCAGCAGUCGAGAAUCAUUCACAAUGGGGGAAACCCUGAUGGUGCGACGCCGCGUGGGGGAAUGAAGGUCUUCGGAUUGUAAACCCCUGUCAUGUGGGAGCAAAUUAAAAAGAUAGUACCACAAGAGGAAGAGACGGCUAACUCUGUGCCAGCAGCCGCGGUAAUACAGCGGUCUCAAGCGUUGUUCGGAAUCACUGGGCGUAAGGCGUGCGUAGGCUGUUUCGUAAGUCGUGUGUGAAAGGCGCGGGCUCAACCCGCGGACGGCACAUGAUACUGCGAGACUAGAGUAAUGGAGGGGGAACCGGAAUUCUCGGUGUAGCAGUGAAAUGCGUAGAUAUCGAGAGGAACACUCGUGGCGAAGGCGGGUUCCUGGACAUUAACUGACGCUGAGGCACGAAGGCCAGGGGAGCGAAAGGGAUUAGAUACCCUUGUAGUC
rnacentral:rRNA from 1 species